rnacentral:lncRNA from 1 species
CUAAAUUUAUCACUCACCCACCCACCCUCUCGGGUUCAUGCAUGCUGUGGAUCUAGCCACAACACAUGCGCCCCUAAAGGAAGGUUGUAGAUAGAAAGUGGGUGGGGGGUGGUGGCUGUGUGCUGGCAGGGCCUGUGGACCUGUCAGUCUAUCUUUAUGUCCCAGUAGUCCUGUCCCAUAAGCCUCCAGAGCUCUGACCUUCUCAGGGACGGUGGAACCAGUAGACAGGAGCGUCUUAUAGCUAACUUCUUACUGAACCCACCUGAAACACUGUAAGACCCCAAUGGCUCUCUGAGAAGAGAACGUACAUUAAGAAGGACUUGGGAGUGAGACCCCCAUUAAACUAAGCAAUCCCAGAUUGCUACAGAAGAGAGCUUUGAGCUUCCAGAAAGAAUUCUCCUUUGACGAAAAAGACGACCCAGCCAAAAGCACCAAGGAUAUAGAUGUUAGUCUCUUGGCCAAUCUCCCCAAAGGUGAGUAAGGGUUUUU